CGAUGGAGGGACGCAGGAGGCUAGCAGCGCGUGGUGCUGGAUACCACGUUCAAGCGUCAAGUCUGAGAGCGAGUCAAAUGCUUGCUCUCAUAAGGACAAGGCGUGAUGAGGAGCGAAAUUAAAGUAGCGAAGGCUGCGACGUCACACUGCCGAGAAAAGCUUCUAGCCAGAGACGGUGCACCCGUACCGCAAACCGACACAGGUAGUCGAGGAGAGUAUCCUCAGGUGAGCGAGAGAACUCUCGUUAAGGAACUCGGCAAAAUGGCCCCG
rnacentral:rRNA from 1 species